rnacentral:rRNA from 1 species
GAUAAACGCUGGCGGCGUGCAUGAGACAUGCAAGUCGAACGAAGGAUCGGGCUUGCUCGAUCCUUAGUGGCGGACGGCUGAGUAACGCGUAGGUGACCUACCCCGAAGUGGGGAAUAACUGCCCGAAGGGUGGCUAAUACCGCAUGUGGUCGCACGUUCAUUCGUGCGAGUAAAGCCGCAAGGCGCUUCGGGAGGGGCCUGCGUCCGAUUAGCUCGUUGGUGGGGUAAUGGCUUACCAAGGCGACGAUCGGUAGGUGGUCUGAGAGGACGAUCACCCAGACUGGGACUGAGACACGGCCCAGACUCCUACGGGAGGCAGCAGUCGGGAAUUUUGCUCAAUGGGGGAAACCCUGAAGCAGCAACGCCGCGUGAGGGAUGAAGGCCUUCGGGUUGUAAACCUCUUUUGUCAGGGACGAUGAUGACGGUACCUGGCGAAUAAGCCACGGCUAACUACGUG